AGCCUUGUGGUGUAAAAAACAUGUUGAAUUGCAAAUUCAAAGAAGCAGCUUCAAUCCUGCCCCGGCUU
rnacentral:tRNA from 1 species